rnacentral:rRNA from 1 species
CCCUUAGAUGUCCGGGGCCGCACGCGCGCUACACUGAAGGAAUCAGCGUGGCUUUCUCCCUGACCCGAAAGGGUUGGGAAACCCGUUGAAUCUCCUUCGUGAUAGGGAUUGGGGCUUGAAAUUGUUCCCCAUGAACGAGGAAUUCCCAGUAAGCGCGAGUCAUAAGCUCGCGUUGAUUACGUCCCUGCCCUUUGUACACACCGCCCGUCGCUACUACCGAUUGAACGGUUUAGUGAGGGCCUCGGAUUGGUCUCGGCCCGCGCUUUACCGGGCGGCGCCGUUGGUCGAGAAGACGCUCGAACUUGAUCGUUUAGAGGAAGUAAAAGUCGUAACA